UUCUCCCCCUAAAUCUGUGCAUUCAUCAAAUCACAGCUACUGUAACUCCAGCACCUGUACCAGCCAGAAUGUCACACUGACAUCUGCUAUAACAUCAUCCCACUAACUAACAAGGUGCCAUACCUUGUUAUCUGAGAACACAUAGACCACAAGCUUGAUGAUUACUUGCAGUGCAAAGACAGAACUCCCCUUGUCAUGAGCAACCAACUCCCCUCUUGAAACUUGGAGAAGAACAUAUCCA
rnacentral:lncRNA from 1 species